GAUUGUUCAGUCAAAUAUAUUCUUUAAAAUGAAAUCUUCAUAGAAAUAGUGUUUUUUAACCACUUUCUUUCGUAUUGUUUAUUACUUUUGGUGUUAUCUCCCGUAGUUGUCGUGAGCUAUUUUUUAACCCAAAUUUGAGGAUGUAGGUCAAGCUGAACCAAAUGCAUUUACAUCAAAUUAGGAAUUUGUUGGUCAAGCACCUGCUGUAUAUAGAACAACAAUCCAUUACAGCUUUGAUUAUGCCGAGCAGGUCUUCUACCCAUACUAGGCACAGCAAGAGUGCCCUGCUUUGAAGUGUUCUGUAAAUCAUAUGGUUCACAGAUAUCUCAGUGAUAAGGGUUUAGCUGUUAGUGGCCAAUGGUGUGGUACCUCAUUUCCAACAUCAUCCAUAUAGAGAAGACUCUGCAUACCUGCACAUUGACAACUGUGUUGGGUGGAAUAAAAACAAUGCAGUCAUUGGGGUCUGAUGUAUUCUGAAGGGAGAGAAACAGCAUUUACUUAAAUGGAAGCAGGUGACAUAAAGUUUAGUCCUGUGUGAGAUUUGGUCUGUGGAAGACCAAAUGGAGGCAGCACACAUCCUUUGUGGAUUUGUGGAUUGAUGACCUUGGCAAACUGGUUAUAUUCUUUGACUGGUUGGAGUACACCAAGUGACCCCUGAAGUCCAUUCCAAACUUGAGGAAAUAUCAUCACUUCAGAACUUCAGCUGACAACCCAGUGAGUGAAUUCAUGAGAGAGCAUGCCAAGGACUUAAUGCAAAAAGGCUCUGAUCCCUUAAAUAAGUGAAAAAACCAAUAAACUGAUAUGUAAUCUUUAUAAACUAAAUAUAAGAAUUGAGAAUGAGCCUGUUACUGAGCUGAUGAAAACGUGUAUCAAUUUUUUAUUGACAAUUAUUUAUUCAAUAGAAACAUGUUCAUGUGAAAUGAAGCUACCAGUGAUUUUGAGUGAAAAACUGUAGUUUAAGCAAAUGAGUGAUAGAAGGGUGCUACACCCUGUCUUUUGUUGGUAGAGCCCCUCUGCCAUAUAAUGGAGACCACUAUAUGAUUAUUAUUAAUACAAACUUAAAACAAUCUGGCAGUUGAAGCCUAUAAAUGCUUGAAUUGAAGACAUUUAUAAUAUUGUUUGUCAAUAUCAGUUACUUCACAGCCUGAUAAAAUGUACCUUAGCAACCUUUCAGUUUUUCUUCAAUAUCUUUAUUUUUAAAACCUUCCUGAAACAUUUUCAGCUUUAACUUUUACCUAUGAAUAAGCAUCGAAAAUAUAAUUUGUCAUGUACUAUGUGACCAAUUGCAUACCUCUUGAAACUACAUAAUGACGUGUACAUGCUAAGUAGUUAGUAUGUUAAAUAAAUUGCUUUCAUUUUUGUAAAAUGUUAAUGUUAUUUUUAUUAAAUUAAAAGUAUAUAUACCACCAUUUCAUGUUUUAUGAGCAAUGAAUGACUAUACAAAAAAUCACAUUUGAGGUAAAUUGGUAAAGUUGGUGUGAUUAUAAUCAUGUUUGUGGCAUGUUGCCAUGGUAACCAGGAUAAAAAAACAAACCCUUAAAUACCAUUCAAAUAAGAUAAAUUAUAGUAAAUUACAGGGGUAACAUACUUUAACUUCUAGAUAUAUACAUUGGUUUGUAUUAGGUGCAAGUUCCAACCUAAUGUCAAUUUAUUGUGAAAAUUUGCCAAUAAACUACUGUACUUGGCGAACCGUUUUUUUUUUAUUCUGAUUUUUUUUUUAAUGUCAAAUACAUACACCAUGUACAGUAAGGUUUGAGGAUAUCAAUUAACAAAUCAAUUAUUAUUGAAUGCUUCAUAUGGCAUUUAUUGUAUAUUUAAAUGCAAAUUUAACCCCAAAAUGCCUUUUUCAAUAAUGGUUGCCAUGGUAACCAAUUAAUUUUCAUUUAUUUUCUCAAUAAUAAUUGAGAAUGGUUUUGAAAAUAUAUUGUUGUCGUUAUAAUGUGGGAAUUGUGUAUAUUGUAGUUAUGAAUAUGUAUUGCAUCUGUGAAUACAAAUGUUUCAAUAAAUUCUUGAACUUUACCAAAUUUCCAGCUGUUUCUUAACCAAGUGCCCUUCUAGUUUUUGUCAUAAUUUCGUUAAAAAUAGGAAUUUUUUAAUUUUCUUUUCAGUAUUUUUAUCCUUAAGAAUAGUACAGUCAGAAACACUCAUAUCUCAUUUUCGCCCCAAAAGUG